CUUACUUAGCCCCCUGCCAUUUAAAAUGUUUAAGCUUCCCACAAUAGACAAACCCAGGCCAUACCUUGCUUGCUGCCAGGGUUCUGCCUGCUUUGCCUGGUCAAAGGUACGGUCAGUCCCGCAAGUUGUUCCAUUACAGAAAAAUCUCAGACCUGGCUCUGACAGUCAAAAGCCUAUGCUGCUCUGUAUGACAGCUAAAGACCUACAACCACUGCCCUCAAGAAGACUGUGGAGACCAUGGGAGCCUCAGGAGUUUGUUUCACAACGACUGCUUCUGUAAUCAAACACCUGUGUCUCCUGGUAAAUAACUGGAUUAAAAAAAAAAAGAUGCAAAGCUUAAGCUAUAAGGAUUCAAAAAUACUUUAAAAUAUAUAAAGAUGUUUGAAGAUAUGUAAGCACAAGUUUAUACAAGGUAUGAGGACAUAAAAGUUUGCUAUAAUAAAAAUCAUUUAAGAUACAUAAAAAUAAUUUUUAAAAUGCUUCAAAUCUCUUCCUCUAUGCUAUUGUUAUACUGAAACUUCAAAUGUUCAAUGUUUUGACACUAAUCAACAAUGCUCUGAUAAGCGAUUAAUUUAAUUCUAGUAAACACUGACUCUUAUUAUCAUAGUCAAAAGCUCAAGAGUAUAAAUCCCCUUUCGCUAUUUUUUUUAAAUGUAGAAUUAAAAAUGUUUCCUAUUGUGCUAAAGACAUCUGCCUAUAAUCUAAUCUGUAUACACACCCAGUCUUCUGGAUAAAGAAAACAAAAAUGUCAAUGCUUUUAACCAAAAUCAUUUUUAGGUUUCCAAACUUUUACUAUGACUCCAAGUCAUGAGUUUGCUGCCUUUUCUUCAAUAAGGAUUUCAAUGCAGACUGUAAACAAUAAUAAUGCUACAUAUCUGAACUUUUGCCUCUUAAAAACUAUUCCCAUAAGCUGCAGAAAAUCAGCUUGAAUCAGCCACCUCUCACAGGUCAAAACAAACUCUAAAUAAGUAUCACCAAUUAAGAAUCUAUUUACCCACCUUCCUCAGUGGGUGGGACCUCUUCCCCUUUCCCUGGUUUUGGGGCAUCCUUCUCCCAUCUGCCAGGACUGUGGACCUGGAAAUUGCAAAUGUACACCUAGAGAAAAUUCCCCCCUUAAGAUUCCUUAGCUUCCUUUUCUGCCCAUUAGUAUAUAUUUGUUCCAGUGGAUUUCCAAUCAAUCAAAGGCUACAGACUGCUCCAACUGCUGCCUGCAUGUCCCUAGUCCCAGAUAGUCCUGCAGAGCUUAGACAACAAAUACAGUGGUCGGCUCUUUCUGGACUUGGUCAACUUUCCAGGCUUGUGGGUCCACAGUCCCCAGCUUUGGUUCAG
rnacentral:lncRNA from 1 species